UACGGAGGGUGCAAGCGUUGUCCGGAAUCACUGGGCGUAAAGGGCGCGUAGGCGGCUCAUGAAGGCUGUGGUGAAAGUCCGGGGCUCAACCUCGGAUCGGCCGUGGCGACUCGUGGGCUGGAGCACUGUAGAGGCGGGUGGAAUUCCGGGUGUAGCGGUGGAAUGCGUAGAGAUCCGGAAGAACACCAGUGGCGAAGGCGACCCGCUGGGCAGUGGCUGACGCUGAGGCGCGAAAGCGUGGGGAGCGAUCCGG
rnacentral:rRNA from 1 species